UUACUAAAUUGCCUUUUUAAAAAAUAUAUUCCACCAGAAAGCUUUUCCCUUAUGUUGGCCAGUUCUUCCUUGGAUGUCUGAGUGA
rnacentral:snoRNA from 1 species